AACGUAGGACGCAAGCGUUAUCCGGAGUUACUGGGCGUAAAGCGCGGGCAGGCGGCCCGCUCAGUCGGCCGUGAAAGCGCCGGGCUCAACUCGGCGAGGUCGGGCGAUACUGGCGGGCUCGAGGCUGGUAGAGGGCGGUGGAAUUCCGGGUGUAGUGGUGGAAUGCGUAGAGCUCCGGAGGAACACCAGUGGCGAAGGCGGCCGCCU
rnacentral:rRNA from 1 species